rnacentral:rRNA from 1 species
UGGGGAAUUUUGGACAAUGGGCGGAAGCCUGAUCCAGCCAUGCCGCGUGAGUGAAGAAGGCCUUCGGGUUGUAAAGCUCUUUCGGUGGGGAAGAAAUCGCACGGGCUAAUACCUCGUGUGGAUGACGGUACCCGCAUAAGAAGCACCGGCUAACUACGUGCCAGCAGCCGCGGUAAUACGUAGGGUGCGAGCGUUAAUCGGAAUUACUGGGCGUAAAGCGUGCGCAGGCGGUUUUAUAAGUCAGACGUGAAAUCCCCGGGCUCAACCUGGGAACUGCGUUUGAGACUGUAAGGCUAGAGGAUGGCAGAGGGGGGUAGAAUUCCACGUGUAGCAGUGAAAUGCGUAGAGAUGUGGAGGAAUACCGAUGGCGAAGGCAGCCCCCUGGGCUAUAACUGACGCU